AAGCCAUAUAAUAAACUUUAGAUGCACAUCAAGUUUUCAUGUCAUGCUAAACAAAUAAAAUACCGAAAACUGAUUACACAUACCUUUGUCCUUAUACUUUCAAGUAUUUGAACUACAUGUCCAAAACUACACGUCUUUCAUAUGGAGUCAAUUCUUCUUGAAUUGUAUCUUUUCCAUUUAGUCAAUAUUUUAUUUGUAU
rnacentral:lncRNA from 1 species